UGUGGCAUAGUCCAGUGGUUAAGUCUUUUGCCUCUCAAUCUGGGGACCCAGGUUCAAUUCCUGCCAAAA
rnacentral:tRNA from 1 species